rnacentral:rRNA from 1 species
AACGAACGCUGGCGGCAGGCCUAACACAUGCAAGUCGAGCGCGCCUUCGGGUGAGCGGCGGACGGGUUAGUAACGCGUGGGAAUAUGCCCGGUACUAGGGAAUAGCCACUGGAAACGGUGAGUAAUACCUUAGUACGCCCUUCGGGGAAAGAUUUAUCGGUAUCGGAUUAGCCCGCGUUAGAUUAGGGUAGUUAGGUGGGGGUAAUGGGCCUACCAAGCCUACGAUCUAUAGCUGGUUUUAGAGGAUGAUCAGCAACACUGGGACUGAGACACGGCCCAGACUCCUACGGGAGGCAGCAGUGGGGAAUCUUGGACAAUGGGCGCAAGCCUGAUCCAGCCAUGCCGCGUGAGUGAUGAAGGCCUUAGGGG